UACAGAGGGUGCAAGCGUUGUCCGGAAUCACUGGGCGUAAAGGGCGCGUAGGUGGCGCCGCAAGUCCAUGGUGAAAGCUCGAUGCUCAACAUCGAGUCGGCCACGGAGACUGCGGGGCUCGAGCACUGUAGGGGCAGAUGGAAUUCCGGGUGUAGCGGUGGAAUGCGUAGAGAUCCGGAAGAACACCGGUGGCGAAGGCGGUCUGCUGGGCAGUUGCUGACACUGAGGCGCGACAGCGUGGGGAGCAAACAGG
rnacentral:rRNA from 1 species